rnacentral:rRNA from 1 species
UACGAAGGGGGCUAGCGUUGCUCGGAAUGACUGGGCGUAAAGGGCGCGUAGGCGGAUGGCACAGUCAGAUGUGAAAUUCCCGGGCUUAACCCGGGGGCUGCAUUUGAUACGUGUUGUCUUGAGUUCGGAAGAGGGUCGUGGAAUUCCCAGUGUAGAGGUGAAAUGCGCAGAUAUCGGGAAGAACACCCGUGGCGAAGGCGGCUCUCUGGGACGGUACUGACGCUGAGACGCGAAAGCGUGGGGAGCGAACAGG